rnacentral:rRNA from 1 species
CUACGGAGGGUGCAAGCGUUACUCGGAAUCACUGGGCGUAAAGCGCGCGCAGGCGGCCCGAGAAGUUGGAAGUGAAAUCCUAUGGCUUAACCAUAGAACUGCUCCCAAGACUGUCGGGCUAGAGUCUGGGAGGGGAAGAUGGAAUUAGUUGUGUAGGGGUAAAAUCCGUAGAGAUAACUAGGAAUACCAAAAGCGAAGGCGAUCUUCUGGAACAGUACUGACGCUGAGGCGCGAAAGCGUGGGGAGCAAACAGGAUUAGAAACCCCAGUAGUCC